rnacentral:lncRNA from 1 species
UCAAAUUGUCCCUGUUUGCAGAUGACAUGAUUGUAUAUCUAGAAAACCCCAUUGUCUCAGCCCAGAAUCUCCUUAAGCUGAUAAGCAACUUCAGCAAAGUCUCAGGAUACAAAAUCAAUGUACAAAAAUCACAAGCAUUCUUAUACACCAAUAACAGACAAACAGUCAAAUCAUGAGUGAACUCCCAUUCACAAUUGCUUCAAAGAGAAUAAAAUACCUAGGAAUCCAACUUACAAGGGAUGUGAAGGACCUCUUCAAGGAGAACUACAAACCACUGCUCAACGAAGUAAAAGAGGACACAAACAAAUGGAAGAACAUUCCAUGCUCAUGGAUAGGAAGAAUCAAUAUUGUGAAAAUGGCCAUACUGCCCAAGGUAGUUUAUAGAUUCAAUGCCAUCCCCAUCAAGCUACCAAUGGCUUUCUUCACAGAAUUGGAAAAAACUACUUUAAAGUUCAUAUGGAACCAAAAAAGAGCCUGCAUUGCCAAGUCAAUCCUAAGCCAAAAGAACAAAGCUGGAGGCAUCACGCUACCUGACUUCCAACUAUACUACAAGGCUACAGUAACCAAAACAACAUGGUACUGGUACCAAAACAGAGAUACAGACCAAUGGAACAGAACAGAGCCCUCAGAAAUAAUGCCACACAUCUACAACCAUCUGAUCUUUGACAACCCUGACAAAAACAAGAAAUGGGGAAAGGAUUCCCUAUUUAACAAAUGGUGCUGGGAAAACUGGCUAGCCAUAUGUAGAAAGCUGAAACUGGAUCUCUUCCUUAUACCUUAUACAAAAAUUAAUUCAAGAUGGAUUAAAGACUUAUAUGUUAGACNNNNNNNNNNGUUAGACUUAAAACCAUAAAAACCCUAGAAGAAAACCUAGGCAAUACCAUUCAGGACAUAGGCAUGGGCAAGGACUUCAUGUCUAAAACACCAAAAGCAAUGGCAACAAAAGCCAAAAUAGAGAAAUGGGAUCUAAUUAAACUAAAGAGCUUCUGCACAGCAAAAGAAACUACCAUCAGAGUGAACAGACAACCUACAAAAUGGGAGAAAAUUUUUGCAAUCUACUCAUCUGACAAAGGGCUAAUAUCCAGAAUCUACAAAUAACUCAAACAAAUUUACAAGAAAGAAACAAACAACCCCAUCAAAAAGUGGGUGAAGGAUAUGAACAGACACUUCUCAAAAGAAGACAUUCAUGCAGCCAAAAGACACAUGAAAAAAUGCUCAUCAUCACUGGCCAUCAGAGAAAUGCAAAUCAAUACCACAAUAUCAUCUCACACCAGUUAGAAUGGUGAGCAUUAAAAAGUCAGGAAACAACAGGUGCUGGAGAGGAUGUGGAAAAAUAGGAACACUUUUACACUGUUGGUGGGACUGUAAACUAGUUCAACCAUUGUGGAAGACAGUGUGGCAAUUCCUUAGGGAUCUAGAACUAGAAAUACCAUUUGACCCAGCCAUCCCAUUACUGGGUGUAUACCCAAAGGAAUAUAAAUCAUGCUGCUAUAAAGACACAUGCACACGUAUGUUUAUUGUGGCACUACUCACAAUAGCAAAGACUUGGAACCAACUCAAAUGUCCAACAAUGAUAGACUGGAUUAAGAAAAUGUGGCACAUAUACACCAUGGAAUACUAUGCAGCCAUAAAAAAUGAUGAGUUCAUGUCCUUUGUAGGGACAUGGAUGAAGAUGGAAACCAUCAUUCUCAUCAAACUAUCACAAGGACAAAAAACCAAACACCACAUGUUCUCACUCAUAGGUGGGAACUGAACAAUGAGAACACUUGGACUCAGGAAGGGGAACAUGACACAUCAGGGCCAAGAUCCCAUUUAUAAGAAUAAAAAUAUAAGAAUAUGGAAUUCUGUUUCAGUAAAUCUGGGAUAGGGCCUGAGAUUCUACUUAUAGAGAAGCCUUUCUCCUUUAUUCCCCUCAGAGUUAACCCAAUCUCUGAGUGCUUCACUCUCAGUGUGAACAGAGGAAAGUCUCUAACGUGAAAAAUGAAUAUUGCAACCCUUACUAAUAUCCUCUGCCUGUCUAUGCUUUUAAAAUGUUUUCACUUGGCCAGAAGUUGGCUAAUGGCCUUUUGUAGGUUUCUGCACCUAUUGUGUUCAUUGGCUCCUAGAAUCUCAGGAGUGAAAGAGACCUGAGAAGUUACCUAGUCUAGACUAGGUGUGGUGACUCACACCCAUAAUCGCAACACUUUGGAAGGCCAAGGUGGGAGGAUCCUUUGAGCCCAGUAGUUUGAGACCAGCCUGGGCAACAUAGUGUGACUCUCUUUCUAAAAAUAAAAAUGAGCCAGUGAUAACCACAAAAAAAAAAAAUUCUGGAAGCCAAAUUACCAUGUCUUGGUAAAAAGAUAUUUUACAUAAUUGAUGUUCACUUCAAAAUCUCCUCUUAGGUAGACUAUAACAAUUCGGAUUACUACUGGAUUCUGAGUUUCAAGAAAGCAAAGACUGUGGCCCCUUUACUUCAACAUUUUAUCUUUAUACCUUUAACUUAUUUUUUUUAAUUACUGCACUAGCCAGAACUUCCACAGUAAUGCUGAAUAAAAAUUAUGACAGUAAAGAAAAAAAACAAAAUAAAAAUGAAAGAUGAAAAUGUUAGCAGUGUUAUCUGUAAGUGGUGAAUUUUUCAUUUUAAUUUGCUCUUUAUAGUUUGUCUAUUUUCCAAAUUUUCUACUGUAAUAUCACUUUUUAUAUUCAGAAAAAAGUUACUGAAAGAAGCAAGAGAUUAUAGUUGAAAAGUCAGUAGAUAUUUCAUUUGUUUAUUAACUAAUUCAGAGAUAAGAGAAAAACUCAACUCUGAAUUUAUUUAUACUGUUUUAUAUUAUGCUGAGGACUGUUGUUAGAAUUUACAUUAAACCUGUGAAAAUAGGCUUGUUCUCAACUGGUGGUUCCUAAAUCUUUUUAGGGGGAAGGGGUCCACCUACUAGUUCGAGAAUCUGCAGAAAGUUAUGGACUCUGAUGUGAAAUUCACCUCUCAGGUUAAGAAUCUGAUUAUGAUUGACAACACAUUUAAGACUCUAAUCCUUGACACAAAUCAUCAUAUUCUAUUCUUAAAUUUUUAUGGCUUUACAUAUGUUAUUAUGUGAGCAAAUGUCUUAUUAAUACAAAUAUCUGAAGGGUAAAAAUCAAAUGUCAAAGAGCAAUUUCUGAGAAACAGGUUAGGUGCCAUGGCUCUCGUCUUUAAUCCCAGCACUUUGGGAGGCUGACUUUAAUCCCAGCACUUUGGGAGGCUGAGGCAGGAGGAUUGCUUGAGCCCAGAAGUUUGAGACCAGAUUGGGCAACACAGUGAGACCUUGUCUCCACAAAACAUUUAAAUUUAAAAAAAAUUAAGAAAGAGAAAUAAUAACAUACUUUGAUUACUUAUCUUACCUUUUCUCUCAAUUGGAAAUAUAGAAGCAAUGCAAGGCACUGUGCAGCCAUGUGAGAUAACAAUUUAUCUGAAUUUUGGAACAUGCAGAUCUACAGGAAAACAAAUAUAAUAACCACUAUUGCUGAAUGUUCUUAAAAUUUUAUUUUAAAUAUCUACAUCUUUAGAAAAACAAAUAGCUUACUAAUUUAGAAUCGACUUUGGCUGAUUCUAAGAGAAUUUUAAUUACAUCUCUGUAUUGCUCCUUUGCAUGGAACUCGGUUUUGACAGACAAUAUCCGGGUUGUCAUCACUUUGAUCACUGUUAACUGAAGGAGCAUGACUUCUCUGGAACUGCUCAUCUGAGAGCUGGUCUUCAAACACGCAGGUGCUACAGCAAUGGGAGCCACACCAACAGAGAUGGGCUGAUGCCUGCCCUGGAUACCACAGGUGUUUGCCCAUUCUAAGGAGGUGGCUGUAGAGCAAUCUUGAUCUGAAACUGCUGGGUUGAGAUAAAAGAUGUAAUCGUGGCUGUCAUUUUCAAGUGUGGCUCCAAGAAGUACCUUCUUGUAUAACUCUUCUAAAACUUCACAGAAAACUUUCAUUUUGACUUCCAAAAUGUAUCUUAUAAGAAGGUCGACAACUC